UAGGGAAUCUUCCACAAUGGGCGAAAGCCUGAUGGAGCAACGCCGCGUGGGUGAAGAAGGGUUUCGGCUCGUAAAGCUCUGUUGUUGGAGAAGAACGUGCGUGAGAGUAACUGUUCACGCAGUGACGGUAUCCAACCAGAAAGUCACGGCUAACUACGUGCCAC
rnacentral:rRNA from 1 species